rnacentral:misc_RNA from 1 species
GAUGAAGAACGUAGCGAAAUGCGAUAAGUAAUGUGAAUUGCAGAAUUCAGUGAAUCAUCGAAUCUUUGAACGCACCUUGCGCUCCUUGGUAUUCCGAGGAGCAUGCCUGUUUGAGUGUCAUGAAAUUCUCAACCUUUUCAGCUUUCUUUGUUGAUCAGGCUUGGAUGUGGGAGUAUGCGGGCUUCUCAGAAGUCGGCUCUCCUGAAAUGCAUUAGCGGGACCUUUGUUGCCUGGCUUUGGUGUGAUAAUUAUCUACGCCAUUGUAGUCAAGCAGCUUAAAAUGAGGUUUCAGCUUCUAACCGUCUCCCCUGAGACAACUUUUUGACAAUUUGACCUCAAAUCAGGUAGGACUACCCGCUGAACUUAAGCAUAUCAAUAACGGAGGA